GGAACAUUGUGAGGAUGAGGCCAGUGAAAGGAAAAGGGUGAAGAGGGAGAGGAUACUGGAGACGGUGGCGUUGCUGAGGCAGAUUAUCCCGGGCGGUCAUGGCAAGGAUGCAGCAGCCGUGAUCGAUGACGCCAUCCGCUACCUCAAGUCCCUCAAGCUGCAGGCCAUGGCCUUGGAGGCUACUUCAAUCAUGGAGAAUUAACAGGGUAUUUACUUUCAUCAGUAUCUAAAUAUUGUUUUUCUUGAUAGGAAUGGUAUAUGUUCA
rnacentral:misc_RNA from 1 species